AUGGAUGGAUACCGGCCGUGCUCAUCCUUGGCGCCCCGGCUGCGACCCAUGGUUGAUUGGCCGCCGGCUGGAAGGGGACGUCUCCUCCUAACUAAGCUUGAUGUGGGACUGACAGCCUGGUGUUUGAGGCAGGACCGCAUGAGUAGUGACUUGCAUCCAAAAAUCAAUAUGAAGAAACAGGUGUAUCUGAUGUACGAUCUGCACUUAAGAACAAGUGUACCAGUUGUUCCAAGCUGCCGGACGGCCAAAGAGUCGGUGAAACAGAGGUUGGUAGAUUAUUCCGGCAAUGGGGCUUCUGCUUGUGCGGCUCUGCAUACCAACCAGUUUAUGCCUGACAUUUGUGUCUCUACAUUAUGCGCGAGGCCCAGACCGAGCGUUCAAAGUAGGAAAACAAACUCGGCGUGGCGGCCGCUCCCCAUCUCCCUGCGUCAUCCAGAUUUGUUUCGGCUGGGUGCCACCCCGGCGGCUAAGAGUGUGCUGUCCCACGGAAGCAGGCCCCUCCUCUGUACUUCUACAACAUAUCCAGUUAUGGUUCCAUUGUUAUCGCGCACCAAACGUUCAAUGAAUUUCUUGAAGAAAAUGAAUGGAUUCUUUUGUUGUGUGCAUCAACCAGGUUGCAAUCACGACGAGCAACAAAUGUAUGCACUGAACUACUGGAAGGAAGAACAUACAACUGAGUGUAUGCACUACAGGAAUGGCACAAUAUUCUCAUGGCGGAAUGGGGAUGGGGCACUAUGUGACCCAACAACUGUUCUACCAGCAGGGUUGAUGGCAUUCUAUGGCAAUACCAAGAAUCCAAACAUCAUCCCCGAAGUGAUCCGUGGUGCUCACAAACAUCUCUCCAACUGGAAGGAAAAUAUUGGUGUUUGCUCCAUGGCGAAGCACUGUGUAAAGAGGCAUGCAGGGACAGACACAGGACUUGCCCUCCCUCCAUGA
rnacentral:rRNA from 1 species